UCCGGGGACCGUUGAGGACGCGGCGUGUAAGGCUGUUAACCGCAAGGUUCACGGUUCGAGUCCGUGCUCCGGAGCCA
rnacentral:tRNA from 2 species